AUCUCCCCUUUCCCCCCUAUAAUUAAUUAAGUUGUAAAAUGCCUCAGAGAUAAACGAGUCCAACCUUGAUGAAGUUCCUCUUCAUGCCCCCUUUUUCUCCCCUUUCUCUUUGUUUUUUUCCCCCCCUUCACCUCCUAUUUCUUUCCCCAGAACCAGUUAGGUUGGAAAAGAUCUCUGAGCUCAUUGAUGAAGUUCCCCUUAAUUCUCCCUUUCCCUCCCUUUUUUUUUUCCUGUCAUCCCUCUUUUUUCCCCUUUUACCCCCUCCCUUUUAUUUUUCUUUACACUUUGCACAUGUAUAAUUUUCCUCCCUCUGUACAGGAGGUUGGGAGCGAGUUGAAACGUGUUAAUCACUCACCUCCCCUCCGUUUAAAAUACCCAAAAAGAGGCUGUGAAUUGCCUAUAAAAAAGGGGUGUAACUGGCUAUGUAUUAAAAUACCCAAAAAAAGGGCUCUAAAACAUCUGGCUCAGGACACACCUGGCUGUGACUGAGGUGCUCAGGCCCUUUUUAGUGUAAAUAAUAAUUAAGGGACAGAAAUAAUUCAGCUCAGGACUCUUCCUACAUUUGAGGUUACCAAGUCUAAGCUUUCUUGCAGCUACAGAUGAUUUUCGUUGCGUGGGGAGAUGUUUUCUCUGUUCAAGUUUGGGAGCUCUGCUUUCUGUUUGUAUUAUUUUUUUCUCCUUCAGUGGACUGUUUUUUCCAAAAUUCGGGAUUUUUAAUCCCUUAGGCAGGGCCUGGCUGUUGUGGUUUUGUUUCUAAGCCUUGCUGGUCUCUGAGCACAGUUUUAGACCCUCUUCCCAGAUCCUGAGAGGAUUCCCACUGUGAACUCAUCCCUUCUUUUCCUUCACAUCACAAUUGCUCCUUUCCAAAUCCUCUCACAGUGAAGUUUCAAUUCCCAAAUAUUGAGGAAAUAGUGAUGGAAUUUGUGUGUCUGCUCUCGUGAAUCUCUUCAUCAGCUCACUUUGCCCAAAGUGAAUCCAAACCAGGUGUGUGAAUUGUUUGUGUGCUGCCUGUGGUGCCUAUAAAUAAUAAAUGGGUUGCUCAGAUCCUGCAGCGACUCGGAGGGAAACUCAACUUUUUCAGACCUACAAAAUUCACCUGACCUCAAAUACAGCAGGGAAGACCCAUGAAAGUGUGUUUUCACUCACAGACCACGUUUGCUGGUGAUCAAUGUGACCAAGGAAGCCAAUCCUGAAGUAACUGAGUCCCUCCCACUGUUCAUUACAUAACCAUCUAAUUAAAGGCAUCAAACAGGGAUGACUUGGAAAACUUCAUACUCUGGGUCAAAAACACUUGCAAAACCACAGCCCAGAGUGCCCAUGUUUUAUUUAUGCUGGGGAGUGCUGUGUAAAUGAAGAAGUUUCUUCUUGGUGUCAGCCUUUAGAGUCUCCUGCUGCUUCUGCAGCCGCUUCCUUGGGCACCAGGGAAAUCCUUUAACUCCUGGUUUCCCUUUGGAAGGAGAAGGGACUUCAUGGUGCUGCUCCCUUCCCUCCCUAGAAGGAGCUGGUGGAUUCAGAGCUCUUCUUGUGGUUGCUUUGGUUUGAAAGUUGGGUUCUUUUCAGGCUUAAUGAAUUCUGCAUCAUGAGCAUUCCCAUGGAUUUAGGGGUAAAUCGUGAUUUUGGUCCCUUGCUCCAGAAGGAAACUGUGAAUUUCCCUGGGAAUGGUUGGAAUACUUCAGCCCUGAUAAUCAGAAGCAUAUGCAGAUGGAGGUGGUGGUGGAGAGACGUGAAAGACAUCUGAAGAACAAAAUGUGGCAGCAAAUAAAAAUCCACGGUCCAUUUUCAGCUUAUAGGGUUUUGAUAGGAGCUGUGGAAGGCUGGAAUUCCCUCAGGAUUUUCAUGCCGUGCUCAAAGCAGGGAAAGCACAGAGUGAGGGUGGGUCAGGGCUGGAAUUCCAGGAUGCUCUUUGGGGGUGUGCAGAGUCCCCUCUGCCCGUGUGGCAGGGGACACAGAGAGCUCCUGGCCUGUUCAGCAGGCUCUGUCAGCGUGGAGAGGCAAGUGUGGGAUCAGCAUUUAAACCCAGCUUGGAGGUGCUCUAGACCUGAAAGACUGGCAGGCAAAUCUCUCUGGUGUAGUUGGGCUGGAAAUGCAAUUUUUUUUUUCCCCUCCAGAAAACACAAAUUUUGAUGUGAGGCUGGGAGUGUGACGUGGGAUUUUCUCAUGGGAUUUUCCCACGUAGCUGCUGUGUUUGCACAGAGUCAGUUUCCCUUUUUGGGGUCGUGGGGUCGUCAUGGAAUUGUGGAAUGGUUUGGGCUGGAAGGGAUCUUAAAGCUCAUCUCGUGCCAUGGCAGGGACACUCCCACUGUCCCAGGCUGCUCCAGCCCCAGUGU